CAAAAAUAAUUAAUAUUAAACCAACAAAAGAAAUCCCUAGAAGCCUAAAGAAAAGGGGGGAAAGAUGAGGCCGAUGCCGAUGGAAUUCGUGACGGACCCAGACGACCAAGGUUCAGCCAUGGAAGUCGACGAUGUUGACACACCGCAGAUCUUCAGCGAAGGCGUCGUCGCUUUCGACAAUUUUGAUUACUCCGAUAUCGACUAAAAAAACAAAGAAGAAUCGCAUGUUGAAGUUCCGAUCCCAACUCCAAAUAAAGGUGAAAUUUUGCGUAAAUUGGAUUGUAGACUGGUUUGUAGUCUCUUUUAUAAUUUAACCAACAAAAUAAUAGACUGGUUUGUAGAUCUCUUAAUUCAAAAUGGAUAGCCUUUCAAUUGCUUCUGUUUUGUUUCUACUUAUUGUUUUAAGCUGGAAAGGUUGGUUUUCUUUUUAAAGGAAAGUUGAUUCUCCCUUAAUUCUUAGAUUUCCAGAACUGAUUUUCAGGUUUGACAAGGAACUGAACAAGUAAGUUGCUAUUAAAGUUAUUGAUUUAGAAGAAUCGUAAGUGGAUACCUUUGUUAUAUUUUCCUUGAUUUAUUCCUCAUUAAAGUGUCUUGUAGCAGGUGCUUGCUAUGAGCAGCAAAGUAUGAAUGAAUCUGUGGUGGACUUGCUUGACUUUGCUUAACGUUGCUUAACUUACAUUAUUAGAUUAGCUAUAACCUUUCUAUAUGUCUAUAUAGUUAUGUAUUUUCAUGCAUUGUUAAUGUAUGUACUGCCUUUGUUUUUCUUUGCUUCUUAAUCAGUUACUUCCUUGCAAAUCCUUCUAACUUUUCCAAAAAAUAAAAUUCUUUGUUUGUGCAGCAUGACACUGAUGGUUUUGAUAAACAAGGAAUGAGGCUUCUGCUUGCGACACUUAACAGGAUAUUUGAUUCAUUGCAGACAACUUAUGAAGGUUUGUUUUUAUUGGAUUUCAGACUUCAACGGUAAAGGCGAUAUAUAUAUUUGAUUUAUCUGCACAAGGUAAGCAUUUUCUUCCGGUUCUCAUGAAUUUCCGUCUAUGGUCGAGCAUUCUCUUCAAGCGUAAUGUCCUUACUAGAAUGCUUUCCAUAUUUCCAUUGUAUCUUACAUGCAAUCCGAACUUAUAUCUUUGUGAACGUAUAUGCAGUUUCCUCUUCUGUCGAAAAAUGCAUACUUACAAAAGUUGGUUGCAAGUGAUAAUGAAGAAAACAAUGAUGAAAUUCAGAUUUCUGACAUACCCGGAGGCCCAGUUGCCUUUGAGAUAUGUGCCAAAUUUAAUAAAAAAUGAACUUAUAUCAUUUUUCUUUUACUUGUGUACAUUGCAUAACAAAUCUAUGACACUUUUAGUCAAGUGUGGGUGUUGGUUACAUGUACGAGUCCAGACAACAGAUAUGAUUGAACUUUGGUUACCUAUAUUGACUUAAGUGAGUAGAUAUAUCAGUAGUGUACAUUUUUUUAUUUCACAAACAAUCUUAAAAAGUUGAGUUAUUAUUAUUUUUAGAUGUAUUUUUUAAUAAUUUACUAUAACAUUAUAAAACAAUCUUAAAAAGUUGAACUGAUUUACUUAUCUUUGCCAUGUUCACUAUGGUUUGAACAGAUUAAGUUACUCUUAUUUUCAUGCAGAGCAUGUAGGAGCCAAAUUUGCGGUUCAAAUUCGAAGCCAUACUCAAAAGUUUUUCUCUAAGGCUCAUUGGUUUGAGUUCAUUACAAGAUUUCCUUGAUUAAGUAAAUGUAUUAUAUCUUUUAUUACCAAGAUUUACUUGAUUAAGAAAAUGCAUUGUAUAUUAUUACCUUGCAUAUGUAUUAUUUAUUUUAGUUUUCAUUCUAAAUUUGUAUUUUUACUUAA